GAUAAGAACACGAAUUUCACUCUUAAAUCGUAACACGUUACCAGUUUGAAUUUUGGGACAAAUUCAUUUAUUGCUUGAAGAAGUUAUCUAUAAAUAUUAGACAUUCUCAUACAAAAUCCAAAAUCAUAUAUACUCAUUAAAUUUUCAGAGAAGAAAUGGUUUCCAAAAGAAAUGUAUCCAUACCUUUUAUGUUAAUUAUAGUGCUUCUCAUUUCAUCGGAAGUUGCAAAUGCUAGAGCACUAGCUGAGGCAUUGCGUUAUGAAGAUGAAGAUGAAGAUGAUAUGAUGGGAAGAAGUGUACGUUUUGAGUAUGAGUGCCCGAGUGGAUGCUGUGGUGUUCGUGUAGGUACAAAACCAUCCGCACAAUAUUGCCUCUGUUGCUCGUAUUAGUCCAUACACUUGAUGUUUUUAUAUAUGUUCAUAAAAGAAACAAAAAUUAAAGAAAAUCAUUGGAUUUAAA